CCUACGGGAGGCAGCAGUGAGGAAUAUUGGACAAUGGGCGCAAGCCUGAUCCAGCCAUGCCGCGUGCAGGAUGACGGUCCUAUGGAUUGUAAACUGCUUUUAUACGAGAAGAAACACCCCUACGUGUAGGGACUUGACGGUAUCGUAAGAAUAAGGAUCGGCUAACUCCGUGCCAGCAGCCGCGGUAAUACGGAGGAUCCAAGCGUUAUCCGGAAUCAUUGGGUUUAAAGGGUCCGUAGGCGGUUUAGUAAGUCAGUGGUGAAAUCUCCCCGCUCAACGGGGAAACGGCCAUUGAUACUGCUAGACUUGAAUUAUUAGGAAGUAACUAGAAUAUGUAGUGUAGCGGUGAAAUGCUUAGAGAUUACAUGGAAUACCAAUUGCGAAGGCAGGUUACUACUAAUGGAUUGACGCUGAUGGACGAAAGCGUGGGUAGCGAACAGGAUUAGAUACCCUGGUAGUCCACGCCGUAAACGAUGGAUACUAGCUGUUGGGUGCAAACUCAGUGGCUAAGCGAAAGUGAUAAGUAUCCCACCUGGGGAGUACGUUGCAAGAAUGAAACUUAAAGGAAUUGACGG
rnacentral:rRNA from 1 species